UACAGAGGUCCCAAGCGUUGUUCGGAUUCACUGGGCGUAAAGGGUGCGCAGGUGGGCUGGUAAGUUCGAUGUGAAAGCCCCGGGCUUAACCCGGGAAAGGCAUUGGAUACUACUGGUCUGGAGGAUUGGAGGGGGGACUGGAAUUCUUGGUGUAGCAGUGAAAUGCGUAGAUAUCAAGAGGAACACCGGUGGCGAAGGCGGUUCUCUGGGCCUGUACUGACGCUGAGGAGCGAAAGCGUGGGGAGCGAACAGG
rnacentral:rRNA from 1 species